rnacentral:rRNA from 1 species
UACGUAGGGUGCGAGCGUUGUCCGGAAUUAUUGGGCGUAAAGGGCUCGUAGGCGGUUUGUCGCGUCGGGCGUGAAAUCCACUGGCUUAACUGGUGGCUUGCUUUCGAUACGGGCAGACUGGAGGUAUGCAGGGGAGAACGGAAUUCCUGGUGUAGCGGUGAAAUGCGCAGAUAUCAGGAGGAACACCGGUGGCGAAGGCGAUCACCUGGGGUUGUUCUGACGCUGAGGAGCGAAAGCUAGGGGAGCAAACGGG